UAGGGAAUCUUCGGCAAUGGACGAAAGUCUGACCGAGCAACGCCGCGUGAGUGAAGAAGGUUUUCGGAUCGUAAAACUCUGUUGUUAGAGAAGAACAAGGACGUUAGUAACUGAACGUCCCCUGACGGUAUCUAACCAGAAAGCCACGGCUAACUACGUGCCAGCAGCCGCGGUAAUACGUAGGUGGCAAGCGUUGUCCGGAUUUAUUGGGCGUAAAGCGAGCGCAGGCGGUUUCUUAAGUCUGAUGUGAAAGCCCCCGGCUCAACCGGGGAGGGUCAUUUGAAGCUAGGAGACUUGAGUGCAGAAGAGGGGAGUGGAAUUCCAUGUGUAGCGGUGAAAUGCGUAGAUGUAUGGAGGAACACCAGUGGCGAAGGCGGCUCUCUGGUCUGUAACUGACGCUGAGGCUCGAAAGCGUGGGGAGCAAACAGG
rnacentral:rRNA from 1 species